UUUUAUUAUCCACUAUUUAAGCAAUUCUCUUGCCCCUGACUUUGUUCCAGUUUAACCGAGUAAGCGUCACAGUUUCGCUGUUUUCAAAGUGUAAAUCUUAGUCGUCGACGUUACACGGAAGAAGGCAGCUCAGGAGAAUUUGAGUCUGUUUCUGUUUCGUUUUUUUCUAAACCUAAUUUAGUGGGAGAGACAACACUGCAGUACCUCUCAGAGGUAGACUCUCUCUUAAAACGGCGUACAGAACAUACGGCGUGUCUUUUUGGGACUCACUCUGCGACCACUCCCACCAGCGAGAAUGGGACCACCACUUUCAGCACAUCGGCCAGCGAGAAGUCCUUAUCUGACUGCAGAAAGCCUCGAUGGAUUUGCAACCGUGCAUCCACGGACUUCCGCUCCACCUUUGUGACCCCAGUAGCUAGCGCUGCUGGCGCAGUCUGUGC
rnacentral:lncRNA from 1 species